CAAUAGGGAAUCUUCGGCAAUGGACGAAAGUCUGACCGAGCAACGCCGCGUGAGUGAAGAAGGUUUUCGGAUCGUAAAACUCUGUUGGUAGAGAAGAACGUUGGUGAGAGUGGAAAGCUCAUCAAGUGACGGUAACUACCCGGAAAGGGACGGCUAACUACGUGCCAG
rnacentral:rRNA from 1 species